CCAUUAGAUGUUCUGGGCUGCACACGCGCUACACUGAAGGAGGCAGCGUGUACUCCUGGAUCGAAAGAUUUGGGUAACCCGCGAAUCUCCUUCGUGCUAGGGAUUGAGGUUUGCAAUUAUCCUUCAUGAACGAGGAAUUCCCAGUAAGUGCAAGUCAUAAGCUUGCGCUGACUACGUCCCUGCCCUUUGUACACACCGCCCGUCGCUACUACCGAUUGAAUGAUUUAGUGAGGACUUCGGACUGGGACCGAUGCGGCUUUCGGGCUGCGUCGGUAUUCUGGAAAGAUGUCCAAACUGUAUCAUUUAGAGGAAGUAAAAGUCGUAACA
rnacentral:rRNA from 1 species